CUAAGCCGAGGAAGGCCAGAAGUCAGAGAUCAAGGAGUCGCCUCCGUUUCCACCAGUGAUAUAAUUGUCAACGCGAAUUACGUUCGAUCGAGGCUGAGGAAAAAUCCAAUUUCCAGCUUUGUUUAGAUAUGACAGAGAAGCACGUAGGGGGAUACCCUGUCUUGAAGACGAAGUAGCUGCAAAAUAGUUUUUUAGCGAUCUAAGCACUGACCAGUUAUCAAUCAAGAAGCGACAGUUCACUCCAUUCCCAAUUCGCAGUUUUAUCCAGGUAUAUACUUUCCCUUGCAUCUUGAUUAGUUUGUUGGCCAACCAAAAAUUUGAUGCAUUCGUGUUGACUGUCCAAUAGUUAGAUAAAGAGCUAUGUAGAAUAAUAAAAUUUGAAAGAUUUCCCACAUUGUUUUUGUUUCAGCCAUGUAGUUUUUCACCAUUGUUUUUUUACCAUUGUUUUUGUUUGCUUUUUUUUUGGAUAGAUUUCUACACUUUUGUUGUUUGUUGCAAGGACGAAUAAUAAAAAAAAUUAGAAAAUAUUAGAUUAUAAUUUAGAUAUAGAUACAAUUCAUUUUUAUAAUAUCAUGAAACUUACAUGGGAUAUUUUUUUUUUUAAUAAUUACAUGGGAUAUAACUUCUACAUGUCUUAUGUCCUAUGCAUAUGUUCCAUGGAUAUAUAAUUUUUAUAAGUAGUUAUUGUUUGAUACUUGACCCUAGACAGACAUAACAAAUUACUAAUAGAUUAAAACUAUGAUUAUUAGUGAAACUAAACAUUUGUUUCAAGAAAACAAAGAAAAUAUGUUCCAAUACAUUUUUUUUUUUUCCAUCAGAAAUUUUAUUUAAAAUAAAGGUCAAGCCCAACCAUUACAAAGCCCAAACCACAAGGGGCAACCCUACUCCACACAAACAAAGGCCCAUAAGCCCAACAAAAAACGGAAACCCUAGUUCCCAAAACGGAGGCGCCACUCUCACGCACAACCGCUUCGAACCACGCCGGAAAACCGCAACAAUCGAGACCCCGGUGCCAUCUCCCAUGAUCGAACCACCGGUACACCCCUAAGCUCAAAAGCUCCACCAUCUUCACCGCUAACACCCUCAAGACAGCGAUUCUAAACUCGGAUAGCAUCAAUCGCAGAGGAGAGCUAAUCCGUCACAAUUAAAACACCACCACCGACUAGAAAGCUUAGCGCAAACCAUCACCCAGUUACCACCGGGGAGCGUCUAUCAUCCUCCGACGAGAGCUCCACCAGCCAAACCAACCCGACAUCGCUAGAGACUAAAAGAGAAACCUAAAAAACAGAGAUAAAAAGACCACUAGCCGGCGGCGCAAGGCACAGAACAACCUUCACGCCCCGGAGACAAGAGCCAGCGACAGCGGAGCAAAGGAAGCCUCCGCCUCCCGGUGACAAAGUCGGCGUCGAUGGAGCUCUAUAAGCCUCCACCUCCCGGAAAACUAAUACUACUCGAAACUACCGGCUUCACCACCCCCAUCCUCCACCCGCUCGCGUCGUUGCUCCAGACACAGCGCCUCCACCGGGUCGCCCCCGGAGGUGACGACAACGGACAAGGCCCGGACCAGAGCUCCGACAAGGCGAUAGGGGGAGGACAAGUAUGAGAAGCUGAAGAAAAGCACUUGGUGAAAGAUCAAAGGGCUCCGGCGCCGGCACGCGCGCUCACGCGCCGGCCGGACGUCGGAACCCUCAACCCGAUCUGCUUUCUCUCUCUAACUUUUCUCUCUCUCGGUGUGUGUAUUUGUCCUCUCAAGUUACUUUUAAAUAUGUUCCAAUACAUUAAAGGGUACAUUAAAAUUACAAUUUAAAAUAUUAAAUAUCAAGUUGAGUGUUGUUUUAAUAUAUUUAUACAGUUUUAUUUUAAAUUGUUUGUUUAAAUUAAUUAUUAAAAUAGUUUAGGACAAGAAAAUGUGUAUUCGAAUCUUACCAGAAAAUAUGUGUUAGAAAAAGACAUUAACAUAUAUCAUAUUCGACAACAUUCUCUCAAAGUUUUUCUUUUGAUAUAUAUGGUAAGAAAGCCCUAUAAAGGUACGUAUAUACUUACUAAUCAAGUUGAAACAUGAUGGACGAAGGUACCUUUGGUAGGACGAGUGAUUAAACAAGUCAAUUUGUUAUAUUUGUUUGAAAAACAUUCAUGAUUAAAACAUAUUGAUGUGAUAUAUCCAACGAUAACGUACACAAGCUGGAGAAUCCUAGGUGCAGUGCCGUGCGAAGAGUUUUAGGGGCCUAAGGCAAAUUCUAAAAAUAAAUUUAUUUACAGCCGUAAUGAAAACAAUUUUUUAAUAUGAUAUAUUAUUUUCACCAAAUACACAAGUCUAAUACUGUAAAAAAUAAGUUUAUAACGCAAAUAUAUUAUAUUAUGUUAUAUAGAAAAAAAUACAUGAAUUCAGAAAAUGAGUUAAUUAAUUUUCGUAUAAAUGUUUUUUUCUUAAAUAAGUCUAAACCAUUAGACUAGAAAUUAUUUUAAAUUUUGGGGCCUUAAAAAUAAUCAUAUUAAUUGGGGGCCUGAGGCGAAUGCCUUUUUCAAUACACUGUAGGCACGCCUCUGCCUAGGUGACUAGAUGUCUAGAUUCUUAUAUUCCAUCUUUUCUAUAACUAUAUUCUUUUCUCCAUUUUGACAUACUGGCUGAUUAUUCAGACAAGUCAAUAGUUCGACUAUUAACCCGACUCCCGCGACACAUUAUUCACCGUGAUUACUGAAUCAACCAUAUGUAAUUUCAUGAAUUUGAGGUAUUUCCAACCCACAAUACCAUUUUAGUGUAGUUUUAACACUAUAAAAGAAUCCCAACUAUAACACCAAAUUUUACAUCAUUUUGAUUUUUAUAUUAUGUUAUUAUAUUGCACAAAAAUACAUCACAAUCAAAUGUUUGUUUAAAUAAAUAUUUACUUUUUAAAAUUUAAUAAUAUUAAAAUAAUAAAUCAAAAUAAACUAUUUUAAUAUAUCACAUAUAUUGAUUUCAUAUAUUUAUUUUAUUAUUUAUAUUUAUUUUAUCACCAAAUUUUAUUUUAUUUAAUAUUUUAUUAAUAAAAAUAGGUAAAUAGUAUUUAAUAUGAUAGAUAGUAACACGCCAAAUUUGAUAUGGAUUGUAACUUACCAACUUUACACUAAAAUACUGUAAUUUAAGAAUUAUGUUGGAGAGAAUUUAGUGUAAAACAUACACUAAAAUGAUAUUUUAGCUUUAGGUUAGAGAUAGCCUUAGGCGAAAUGAUACAUCACCUUUAUUCCUCAGUCCCACUAUUUUUUUUUUUAAUUAUACUUCUGAUCGUAUAACUAAAUAUACAUAAGCAUACAUGAUAUUUAACAACUUUUCGAUGUUAUCUUUUAUCAUGUGCAAAUAGAGCGGUCAAAUCUGAAUAAAAAAUAUUAAUUAAGUAGUCUAAAACUUUAAGUUAUAGCUUAUAAUUUUAAAAGAAACUUAGCACAGAGGCAAAACUACUCUAUAGGUAUGAUUUUAGGGUAGAGUUAGAGUAAAUUAAAAUAGAUGAAAAAUGAUUUCAGCUAAUUUAUUCUAAUUUCAGUUAAUCAAGUGAAAUAUGAUUCCACCUUAUUUACUAUAAAAAGUGAGAAAAUAGUAGAAGUAGAAUAAUCUUACCUCAAUUUUUAAUAAGAUGAAAAAGUUUACUCCAACUUUAUUAUAUAUAUUUUUCUCUCUUAUUUUCAUGAUUUUUUCACUGCUUUAUUCUAGUUGAUAACCAAUCAGAUAAAGUUGCACGUACACCUAUAAAUAUGAAUAUUAUAUAUAUAUUUUGUCAAAAUCACUAUAAUUAUAUUAGAUAAGCGGUUAUAAUCGUGUAGUAGAUCCAAUAUUUACCGAAGUUUAAUAUUUUAUAUAGAGUGUGACUGGUUAAUGACAUAGUAAAAUGGUGAAAAUAUGAAGUGGAAAAGAGAGUAAAUAAAAAUUUAAAAAUUGGAGUUAACUUUUCCACUUGUUUAAACUGAAGGAAUAAUUUAUUUUUACUAUUUUCAUUUUUAGAGUAAACAUGUGGAUAUAUUCAGUUACCAUUUUUAAAAUGAUAAAAAAAAUAUAUCCUAUUUUUAUCUGCUGUUUAAUAAUAAUCAAUCAUAUUAGACAAAAUUAUUAUAUUGAGCUAAAUAUAAUAAAAUUUUAUUAAAUUCAUAUAUUUUAUUUUCAUAAACAUAAAAUAUUUAUAUUGAAAACUAAAAAUAUAAUAUGUUGCUAAGACGGGUUAACAUUAUGUUAAAAAUAUAUAUAAAAUAUUUAUAUUCAAAACUAAAAGUAUAAUAUGUUGCUAAGCUAAAUACGAUAAAAGUAUAUUAAAUUGAUAAAUUUUAUUUUCGUAUAUAUAUAUAAACUAUUUAUGUUAAAAAUAUAUACUAUUUAUGACAUAGCAGUUUAAAAUUAGAAAACUUUAUAAUACAUGUCUAAAAAUUAACAUAUCUUAGACUUUUGUAUAUACAAUGAUAUAUCAUGUAAAAUGAAUAAGCGGAAAAAAUAUUGGUAAAAGAAAUUUAUUUUUGAAAGACAGGUCCGAAUUUAACUUGAAUUAAACACAAAAUAGUUUUAAAAUAUAUUUUCCCAUGAAUCUAUUAAUUUCUUAAUAACUAAAUACAAAUAUAAUAAAAUAAAUAUGUAAUAAAAAAUGAUAAACACAGACAAUUUUAACCAAUUGAUUAAUUAAAACAAACAAAUUAUAAAAUUAUUGUAUUUGAAAUAGUUGUAUAAACAUUCAAGUAUAUAAUUAAUAUUAAAAAUAUAUACUACUAAUAAUCUAAAACAAAUAUCUAUGUAUAUAAAAAUGAAAACAAACAUCCAUGGAGUUGCGCGACUCAAAAUCUAGUUUACUCUUAAAAUUAUAUUACAUAUACCGAUAUUAUAUUUUUGAAUAUGGCACUGCACUGACUCUUUAACAUAUAUCCGAAAUGAACUUGCCAGUGUUGCAUCUCCCAUUCUUUAUAUAUACAAAUCAUAAAUUAAUUAAAUCAAAUCAUCAGGAUUCUGAUUAGUGCUAUCUUUAUCUUUUUUUUUUGUUCAAAGUGCUAUCUUUCUCUUUUGUUAUCAGAACUUACGAGAAAAAAGCUAUGAACUACCGAGACUUUUUUUCGAACUACGAGACUAUCUCUAAAUAUUCAACGGUAAUCACUAGUUUGGAAUUAAAAGGGGCACAAAAGAACUAAUGAAAGUGAUGAUAUAUUAUGUUUAUCAAAAAAAAAAAAGUGAAUAUAUUGUCCUAGCGAAUGUUUCUUACACGAAAACAAUUAGAAAUAUUUAUAAACAAAAUAAGUAAAAAAUGAAGAAGGAACGUCCAGAAGUCCAGAGAAUAUACAGAUGAAGUUAGAGAUGGUGGGCUGAGGAGCACGUGCUAUGUUAUGAACGUACGAUCGACAGAACGUACAAAACAAGACGAAAGUGGAAUUUAUUAUAAAUCAAGUUAUGUAAUAUUGGAGCCAUAUGAGCUUUGUUCAAAAAAUAAUAUUGGUGCCAUAUUAAAUGUCAAGAUCGCUUUACAAAUUACAAAUCUAUACAAGUUUCAGUAUGUGGUCUAUAAAAGGUAAGGACCCGGUCAGUGGGCUCGGAUGGUUCUCAAGAGACGAUCGAGAUUUUUCAAAGCUAUAGUUUUUUUUUCUUUUUGGUACAAUGUUAAAUUGAUUAUAUCAAAUUUUUCGUUUUUUACAGAAAUACAAAAUUAACUAGUAGUGGAGAAGCAGAAAUUAAACCUAAAGAAGCAUUUAUAAGGAAACGUGCAGAAUCUAUUACAAAGUAUAUAGGUCCUAUAAGAUGAACCUGACGUCG
rnacentral:lncRNA from 1 species